AAUACUGGCUUGAGCACAGGGGAACAUUUAAAUUAGGCCAGUAAGACUUGGGAUGAUGUCACGAGACCAUCAGCCAAACAGCUAAAUCACAUUUGAAUAGUAGUUUAUAAAAAGGAGAUCAUUCACCCUAAGGAGCACAUAUGUGGUGUCAUUGUUUUUUUCUUUUCUUACAAAUACAAUGAGCUGAUGCCUGACGGUGGAUGAAAUUGAUUUCUCUUUGGAGAUAGGCUCGGUGCUUCUGCAGCAACUCCUUGACUGUAGUCUUCACACGCACACCCUGGAAUUAAAUAUAAUAUGCGACAUGGCUUAUAUUAUAUUUUAUUGUUUGGUGACUGUAUGUAAAAAUGUAAAAAAAAAAGUUUUAUUUGCCAAAAAGAAAACUUUUGUUUUUGUUACAUUUGCCGAAAAGAAUACUUCUUUAUUAGUCUAUUCGUAUCAUUUGAAAGAAAAGUAAUUUAUAUAUAGGCUAUAUACUGACAUAUUACCUACAAUCUCUUACUUAAAAUCAUAAAAUGUAUAAAUUCAUUCUUGUUUGUGUCAAUGCUCCUACAUAUUUAGCCCAUUUGUAUAAGCACAUGCAUAUCUCCCAUAUGCACCGUUGAAUGCCCAUAGAAACACUGAAUAAAUCGAUACACGGUAUAAGAUUAGAAAUUAUACUUUGCCUGUCUUUUCAGUUUAAACUCCGCUGGCCCGUGUGCACAAGGCACCCGGCAGUGAAUGGGUUAUUUUUUGCAUUACAACAGAGGAGGAAUUUGCUCUCCAGCCAUCUUUGUCCCGGCACGAGAAGUUUAAAUCAGGUUUAGGUUAUUUCGAACUUAACUAAGUAAAAACUUAACUAAUCUUGAACAAAUGUUUGCUUAUGCUAUAAUUUGGCAGGUAUAUGUUACCCGAUCAGUGUAGGCUACAGAAGCGUACAGAUGUUUGUUUGCGGAAACCGGGAAAACACUUUUAACGCUGUUUGGGAGAACAGGAGAGAGAGAGGGAACCGCAGCAGACGCCUCUGCAAGUUACAAACGUUGCUAAAGACGAAAACAUCUCUUAAAUGAAAGAAAGAAAUAUUCACUUACCAGACAUAUUGGCCUGAAAAGGAGGAAAAUUCUGGAAGAGCUACAAUGAAAUACCCCAACGUCACUUCUUUGCUCUAUUAUAUGG